CCUGCUGUGAUGAGACUGGACUAAACCUC
rnacentral:piRNA from 1 species